rnacentral:rRNA from 1 species
CUACGGGGUGCACCAGUGGGGAAUAUUGGACAAUGGGGGAAACCCUGAUCCAGCAAUGCCGCGUGUGUGAAGAAGGCCUGCGGGUUGUAAAGCACUUUCGGUUGGGAGGACUGCUUCUAGCACUAAUAUUGUUGGAAGUUGACGUUACCUUCAGAAGAAGCACCGGCUAACUCCGUGCCAGCAGCCGCGGUAAUACGGAGGGUGCAAGCGUGAAUCGGAAUUACUGGGCGUAAGGCGCGCGUAGGCGGCUAGAUCAGUCGGGUGUGAAAGCCCCGGGCUUAACCUGGGAACUGCAUCCGAUACUGUCUAGCUUGAGUACAGGAGAGGAGAGUGGAAUUCCACAUGUAGCGGUGAAAUGCGUAGAUAUGUGGAGGAACACCAAUGGCGAAGGCAGCUCUCUGGCCUGAUACUGACGCUGAGGUACGAAAGCGUGGGGAGCAAACAGGAUUAGAUACCCGUGUAGUC